GACGAACGCUGGCGGCGUGCCUAACACAUGCAAGUCGAACGGAAAGGCCCUGCUUUUGUGGGGUGCUCGAGUGGCGAACGGGUGAGUAACACGUGAGUAACCUGCCCUUGACUUUGGGAUAACUUCAGGAAACUGGGGCUAAUACCGGAUAGGAGCUCCUGCUGCAUGGUGGGGGUUGGAAAGUUUCGGCGGUUGGGGAUGGACUCGCGGCUUAUCAGCUUGUUGGUGGGGUAGUGGCUUACCAAGGCUUUGACGGGUAGCCGGCCUGAGAGGGUGACCGGCCACAUUGGGACUGGGAUACGGCCCAGACUCCUACGGGAGGCAGCGGUGGGGAGUAUUGCACAAUGGGCGGGGGCCUGAUGCAGCAACGCCGCGUGCGGGAUGACGGCCUUCGGGUUGUGAACCGCUUUCGCCUGUGACGAGGCGUGAGUGACGGUAAUGGGUAAAGAAGCACCGGCUAACUACGUG
rnacentral:rRNA from 1 species